GGGGAUUCUUGUCUUUUUUAUUUAUUUAUUUUAGGUCUUUAGGAAUUUCUUUCUUUAGUAACUAGGAUUUAAUUUCUACAAAAUAAAACAUAGCAAGCUUGAAUAAAUGCUUCCUUUAGAAAGAAAAAGACUAAGUGAUAUGGUAAUGGGAAUGAACAUGUCUAGGAUUGGAUUAUAAGGAGAGACUUGGUAUUUAAGCAGUCUUAAUGACUCACCUUUCUUUCUUUUUAACCCUACCC
rnacentral:lncRNA from 1 species